GAAAGAAAGGGAGCACACAUUACCAACCAAUAAACCCAAUAAUCCAUUAGCAACCAAGGUUGCUGCAUAAUACAGUGCUUCCCUGGUGCUAUAAUUUAUACUGCAGACUAGAGAAUAGACAUGGUUAUUAGACUGAGGGCUACUGGAUGACACAUGAUGCAUGACCGUGCGGCAUUGAUCUUCACACAACAGGAAGGUGUCUAGACCGGGAGAUGUAUGGCUGUGCGAUUCGGAGCAGGGCAUAUUUCACAGGAGGCCUAAUGGAGUGGUGGAGCCGUGAUGGAUGGGCUCGCCCAGUUUCAGUAGCAGAGCAGUUAUAGCUGUGCUAAUGCCUGACCUCUCCUGAGCCACUUGUCCUUCAUGCAGUCACGGUGACCUCAUCUAAAGGGACAGAAAACGAGAUGGGGAGCUGGAAGAAGAUGGAGAGAGGGAAAAUCCUCCCUUGGGAACUGCAGUGCACAAUCAUGGGAACAGGAAGCAAACAUUUCUCUAGUGGUUGCUGGUGGCGAUGGUCAAUCUUUCAUGAAAUGAGUUGCAAGGCUUGGUGUUCAUCACUCUGAGCUCUGAUUACAGCACAUCAGGAUCUUCGCAGAGCAGACAAAGAAGCUGUCAGGCUGGUGACCCAGGAGAGCUGAUACUGCAGUUACUGGAGGCUCAAGAAUGCUGAGGGUGCAGUCGGAGUGCAGAAGAAUUACGCUGGAGAACCCCACCUAGCCUGAGAGAGCCGGUCAUUUAUUUACUUCUGGCCUUUACUGAAGGACGAAGAUUCACUCACAUUAUUGAAAGCCUUUCGCAUUUCAAAUUUUUCCAAUUUAAAUGUCAAUAUCAUCCAAAGAGACGGGUAUAAUUAAUAUAUUAACUAUCACAGCACUAC
rnacentral:sRNA from 1 species